rnacentral:rRNA from 1 species
AUGAAUAAAGUUGUUUUAAACUAUGUGUCGGCUAAUUUGAUAGAUGUUCUGUUUCUGAAUGACAAUGUUGUACAAUGGCGUUUUACGGGUUUUUAUGGUCAUCCGAAUUGGAGGGAUCGUAAUUUGUCGUGGGAGGAUAUUCAUAAUUUGCACAAUAAAGGGGGUCACCCUUGGGUGGUUUUGGGAGAUUUUAACGAAAUUCUACUGUCUUCCGAAAAGGAGGGAGGCAAUGCAAGACCUAACGCAAUGAUGAGGGAAUUUCGUAAUUGUUAG